CUCACAGUCACAGAGCACAGAGAAACAGCAUGAAUAAUAUACUCCUGAGUUUCUCUGUCACAUUUAUGUGGCUCACAGCUUCCACUCUUGGUAACACUGUUCACCAGACUCCUACUGACAUCACUUCCUCCUGCUUGUGCCUUUAAUUCAUAGCAGAAUCACUUCGGAAAAAGAGCUGACAUGAUGAACUCUUUCCUUAACACAUUUGUAUAUCUAAUGAUCAUAACAGCUGCUUGUCUUGGUAAAAAUGUUGAUCAGACGCCUGCAAACCUCAUCAAGAGUCAAGAUGAAUCUGCUGUGAUCACAUGCUCUCACAAUAUACCGAGAUAUGACCAAAUAUUGUGGUACAAACAAAGUCAGGACAUGUCGGGCCUCAAGUUGAUGGGAUACCUUUAUUACAGUGAGAAUAAAGAGCCUGAAUUCACGAACAAGAUCAAAUUGGAUGGAGAU